GAGGAUCAGACAUAUUUGGCCAAGAAAAAUUUGAAUAAUUUGAACGAAUAUAAGAAUUUUGGAAAGGAAAAUUUGAAUUUUGUGAAGCAUAAUUUGAUCCAUAUGGAUCAAACAAAUUCGAAAAUCCAUCCAUAAUAACUGUGAAUUUUUUGGAUGAAAGAAAUAUGUGAAAAAAAUAAAAUUGGAUGAUGAUGGUGGGUAAAAUAUGAAAUUUUAGGUGUAUAUAUAGGAAUGAAAAGAAAAUUACCGUUAAAAUCAAACGGCUACAAAAUCAUUGACGAACGAAAACAAAAAAAAGAAUUGGAAAAUUUUAACAAGAAAAAAAGGUUGCAACAAAAGGGAAAAAAUGGGCGUUAAAGAAAAACACAAAAGAAAAGAAAAUAUAUAUAUUAAAAAAGAAACAAAAAAAAACAACAAAAAAACCACCGAAAAUAAAAAUAAAAAUAUACUCCCUCCAUCCACGAUUAUUAAUGUUGUUAUUAUAUUUCUUUUUCAUUUUCU
rnacentral:lncRNA from 1 species